rnacentral:lncRNA from 7 species
AGGUGGUGAGGAACCCUUGGGUCAGACAAAGACAUCUGCUAGGAAUGUCAGCAAUACAAAGUGAACUGGCAGAGGCUGCAUUUGUACAGAUGCUGUGAUGCUCAAUUGUCUGUGAUGGGCUGCAGUAAAGGAGCAAGUGAGAGCUUCUCUGGAUCACUGCUGCACAAACUGUACGGAGCCCUGUGUCCCUAUGCAGCUCCAUGGGGCUGCUUCUGGCUUACUGCACACGUCCAUACUACUGGCAUCAAACUGUUCUCUGGGCCAGGAGAGUUACUGGGAGGUACAGAUAGAAUGUGUCUGCAGAACUGUUCAACGUGCUGACGUGAGGAAGAUUGUCUCAAUGAGACUUUUUGACAAGAUUACUAAAACUUUCCUGAUCCAAUCGAUUGAGUGACCUCAUGGUUCAUAGUUUCAUCUUCUUACUUCUUGCUCCCCCCUUGGAUGGGGCGGCACAGAAUGUAAUGAUGCGUCUUUAAAAGUGUUUGAAAUCAAGAUGGAACGAGGUGGAAGUGAAGUACAAUGGAACAGGCCAAGUAAUUUUAUGGAAAUAAAUUGGUUCUUUGAAUUGAAUUCUCUUUCCCAUUGUUACACUCUGAACCUUUACUGCUGUAACCUGACUUUGUCAGCACCUAAUUCCAAAGUAGACCCCCAAAAAAUCAAGGAAGAGAAAAAUACAGAAAUAUGGCCAUCUGGAAUUAAAAAUAUUUUGAGUUCAGUACUUCAUUGGUAUUUUUAGUAUUUUAUUCUAUUGCAAAACACUCCUGGCUUUCUGAUAGAAUGAAAAACAGGUUAAAUAAUGUGAAAAGACUGGAGGGUGGAGUAGAACUGGUUCAAUUAUGUACACUAAUUGCAUGCUGUUUGAUUUUUUUUUUCUCCUUUAACUGUGUUUCUAAGAUGAACUCCUUCUAUAAAUCUACAACAGUAACUUCUGUUCCAAUAAAAUUUUGUUAAGCUUUUUGUCCUACUGGAGAUACAACCUUAGAAAACUAAACAACUGUGGUGGCAUCUCAGGAAACAGUUUCCCCUGCCUCGCGCUUUUUUUUUGUCUGAAGAUUGACGGAAGAGCAACAAGACUUCAAGAAUGUUGUUUAGGAAGCCUAUAGCUUUACAUAAUGUUUCAAGGAACUAUCUGACAGUAAUUCAUCCAGCACAGGUCAUCCAUUCUAUCGUAACCCACUUUGCAAAGGCCCCUGUCAGCUCUCUACCUCAUUAACCAGGCACAGCACCUUUGCAGAGACUUCACUGCUCUCUCCUCAUGCAAAACAGAGGGGCUUGACUCCUCGCUGUUCAAGGGAUUCAGAACUUUGGCCUGUUCUUCAGUAACUCCUUUUAGUAGAUGCUUUCCCUAUGCAAUUUCAAUUCUGGCUUUC